AGGAUGCACCGUAGUUUACUACACCGUAUUCUGUGAGUUGCGAACGGGUGAGUAACGCGUAGGUAACCUGCCUGGUAGCGGGGGAUAACUAUUGGAAACGAUAGCUAAUACCGCAUAAGAACAUUUACUGCAUGGUAGAUGUUUAAAAGGUGCAAAUGCAUCACUACCAGAUGGACCUGCGUUGUAUUAGCUAGUAGGUGAGGUAACGGCUCACCUAGGCGACGAUACAUAGCCGACCUGAGAGGGUGAUCGGCCACACUGGGACUGAGACACGGCCCAGACUCCUACGGGAGGCAGCAGUAGGGAAUCUUCGGCAAUGGGGGGAACCCUGACCGAGCAACGCCGCGUGAGUGAAGAAGGUUUUCGGAUCGUAAAGCUCUGUUGUUAAGGAAGAACGAGUGUGAGAAUGGAAAGUUCAUACUGUGACGGUACUUAACCAGAAAGGGACGGCUAACUACGUGCCAGCAGCCGCGGUAAUACGUAGGUCCCGAGCGUUGUCCGGAUUUAUUGGGCGUAAAGCGAGCGCAGGCGGUUAGAUAAGUCUGAAGUUAAAGGCAGUGGCUCAACCAUUGUAGGCU
rnacentral:rRNA from 1 species